GUUUGCCCUGUAAAACGAGUUGGCAUAUCGGCAUGUGUCCAGUAUAUAUAACUGAAGUUCGAUCCUUCUUUGGUUGAUCGGUCUGUCAGAUCCUCUGGAUCAGUGUGUAAGUAGUGUAACCUUAGGUACGUACAGUUCGGCGAAGGAACGAUACAUAUAUUGAUACAUGUCCGGCGUAUUUACGAGCUCGAGAUAAGUACGUGGAGACGCUGUAUGUAUACAGCUGCAAGUUGCAACGUAUAUGUAUGUACCUAGUGCCAUGAGGGACCAUCUUGUCAGUGAGGCACAGGAAACUGAAGUCUGUAAUACGUCCUGUUGAUUAUGUUUUGUGUUUCUUCCGAAUUCUGAUGACAUCAUGCAGUAUAACAAGGACUUGUAACAGAUAGGGAUGCAAUAUCAGAUUUAAGUGGGUGAAUAUGAUCCCACCUGUGAUCUCAGCUGUUCCUUACCAAACUGAUGGGCACUUUCAGAGUUUCCACUGGUUGUUGGUUUUCACGAGAUACUUCACCUGGAAUCAACGUACUGUAUGGUAGCAUCAUCUGCUUCUUCACUCAUCCCUGCCAUGUCUUAUGUCUGAAGGAAAGUAGCGUGUGCCCUGUAAAACGAGUUGGCAUAUCGGCAUGUGUCCAGUAUAUAUGACUGAAGUUCGAUCCUUCUUUGGUUGAUCGGUCUGUCAGAUCCUCUGGAUUAGUGUGUACGUAGUGUUACCCAGGGGCGGAGCCAGGAUUUGAACAUGAAGGGGGCGAGAAAAAUAAUGAUCGCUCAAGAGACACGUCACAAGAAUAGUCUGAAAAUAUGGCACUUAUAUGAAUGUCCUGCCAUAUAUUUCUGUAAUGUAAUGAAAAAUAUACAUUUGUCAGUUCUCAGUUAACACACGCAGACAGGCUCUCGCUCCCGUGCAGCUCCACGGGCCGCACCGGGGCGCCCCAGAUCCGGCCACCUAAGGCACGCCCUCCUCCUCCUCUCCCCUCACCGCCGCCGGAGGGCGUCGCCGGGGCAAAGCCCGGGCGGCGUCGGCGGCGGUGCGGCCAUUUCUCGGCGCAGUGGGGGCGGAUCUGCCGCUCUUGGUGUCCGGCAGCGCUGGUGGUCCAGGGGCUGUGCACGCCGGCGAGUCGAGUUCAAGGCUGGCGGCCACGACGUGGCGGCCUUGGUGGGGUGCUGCGUGCGCCCGCCGGUGCACGGCCAUGGCACAGGGGCUCGGCGGGCUGGGCGUGGAUCUGCGCGUCGGGGCGAGGGUGUCUUGUGCGUGCAGUGGGUCCUGCGGCGCCGAUCUGCUGCCUGCGCGUCGCGGCAAGGGCGCCGGUGCAAAGGGAGUGCGAGGGGAUCGACGGUGCAGUAGUCGCGCUGCAGUGGGUGACGUGCAGGGGCGGCUCCAUGCCGCGGGUGCUCCGGCGCGCAAGGGGCCGUGCAGAGGCACGGCAGCAGCGCAAGGGGACCGUGCAGAGGCACGGCGGCGGCGUGGGGUGGCCCAGCCGGCGCGGAUGUGCCGUGUGUGGGUCGCACUGAGGCGACAAGGCGGCCGCGACAGGGAAGCUCGGCAGGCGGGCGUGAGGGGCUGCGGCUCAGGCGAGGCCGGUCAGGGAGGCUCGGCGGAUGUGCGGAGGAGGUCCGGGCAGCACGGAUCUGUGGCUGGGUGGCCACCUACUCCGGCGUGGUGGAGGCCCGUCUUGGUGCUGCUGCUCUGGCGGGGUGCGUGGUGGAGGGGCUCGGGCUGUCUGUUUGGCGCUCGGGCGGCGGCUUCGGCUACGAGGAUGAUUGGUCGGCUUGUCGGUGCCGGUGCGGGAUGAUGUGCAACCGAGGUGGUGUGGGAGCUCGGGUGAAGACUCUGUCUCGGCCCUGUGUCGUGACCAGCGAUGGCGGCGACUGUGGCCGUCGUGACCUUCCUGGAGGCAUCGCUGAUUUGCUGCCGCACUCCUCUCGCACGGAUCCGGCCAUCUCGGCCUCUUCAGGGGAAACCCUAGAUCUUAUGAUCGGACGAUGACGGCGCCUUGGUGUCGUUUUCCCUCUUGGGGGCUUCGUCUUGGAGCUCGGCAUCGGCAAGCGGGACCGGUGGUUGGUGGCGUCCAGGCUUCUGUGGCAACGAUGAUGGUGGGAGUGAUGUCGGCGACGCGGCAAUGGUUGCGGUAGUCGGCUCUUCUUCGGCGUGUCCACGGUAUUGCCUCGGUUUCCUUGUUGCUAUGGAGUCGAAGCUGCGGCGGCGAGGCCCUGUGGUAUACGAUGACUGGCUGCAGGUUGCCCGUUCGGCGAUCUCCCAUGGCGCCAGUCGUGCCUGGUUUUGUCCUACUGAGUUCUCCGUCAGAGUUGGAGUUGCGCUGGUUGGCCGCAGGAGGCUGAGGUUUUGGCAUCGAUCUUCAUGCAGCUUCACGUGUCCGCUACAGUGUGGGUUGAGUCGACGAUCGCCUACGGCGAAGCGGGAGUCGUUUGCUCAGAGUGUAGGGAUGGCGAUGACGCCUCUAGGGGAGAAGUGAUGACGAUGACGCCUGCGUGCGGUCUCGUGAGGCCCUCUUUGGAGUGGUGUGCAUUGGGCUUUCUAUGUGUACCGCUCAGCGGUUGUGAGGGUUUUAGCCCGGUUCUUCAUAAUUAACUGGGCAAUCUGGUUUUCGCUCGGUUUUCCCUAAUUAACCGAGCAACUCUCUUCUGCUUAAUUAAUCGAUGAGGCAAAACUUUUGCCUUCGUUUCAAAAAAAAAAUAUACAUUUCUGUCAGAUCCUCUGGAUCAGUGUGGACGUAGUCUUAUGUACGUACAGUUCGGCCAAGGAACGAUACAUAUAUAGAUACAUGUCCGGCGUAUUAUACGAGCUCAAGAUAUGUACCUGGCGACGUUGUAUGUGUACAGCUGCAAGUUGCAAGGUAUAUGUAUGUACCUAGUGCCAUGAGGGGCCAUCUUGUCCGUGAGGCACAG
rnacentral:lncRNA from 1 species